GGGGGCGUAAUGUAAUAGGAAACACCUAUCAAAUGUCUUUGGAGAAAAUCACAAUAAAAGGUGUGAACAUGACAAAUAAUAAAAAAAAAAGUCAAGAUAAACUCCAAACCAUGCCCGCCAUGACACAUUUACCUUCAACUUUUUUUGUGACAUUAAAAAUUCAUUUACUAUGCUUAUUGUGAUGUAAAAAAUCCCAAGCUUUUCAUUGUAACAUUUUCCCUAAGCUUCUCCUUGUGACAUAAUAAAUAAAUAAAUAAAUAAAUAAAAGAACCAAACUUAUGCCAAAUGACACAUUUACCCUCUAUUAAGAUUCUGUUAGAUGAUUUUACAGCCAAAGCAACGUCGUUUGUACUUCACUUAAGCCACAUGAGCGCCAUGUCAAUACUUUUUGCUUUAGGGCGUCCACGUAGGUAGAUUUUUAACAGUUCUUAUUGUCAUAACUUUGACAAAGAGUAAAUGAAUCACACGGGUA
rnacentral:lncRNA from 1 species